rnacentral:rRNA from 1 species
UAAUACGUAGGGGGCAAGCGUUGUCCGGAUUUAUUGGGCGUAAAGAGCUCGUAGGCGGCUCGGUAAGUCGGAUGUGAAACCUCCAGGCUCAACCUGGAGACGCCAUCUGAUACUGCCGUGGCUUGAGUCCGGUAGAGGAGCAGGGAAUUCCUGGUGUAGCGGUGAAAUGCGCAGAUAUCAGGAGGAACACCAGCGGCGAAGGCGCUGCUCUGGGCCGGUACUGACGCUGAGGAGCGAAAGCGUGGGGAGCGAACAGGAUUAGAUACCCUGGUAGUCCACGCCGUAAACGUUGGGCACUAGGUGUGGGACCCCAUCGACGGGUUCUGUGCCGUAGCUAACGCAUUAAGUGCCCCGCCUGGGGAGUACGGCCGCAAGGCUA